GCCUGGGUGGCUCAGUGGUGAGUGCCCCUACCGGCAAUGUGGAGGUCUGAGGUUUGAGUCCCAGCCUGGUCA